CCCACUCCCAUCGAUCCCCCCGUUCAGAUCGCGCCGCCGCCUCCCAGGCACCUCCUCCCUUCCGCCGCCCAGGCACCUCCUCCCUUCCGCGCCCAGGCACUUCCUCCCUUCCACCGGCCCCUAUCGACCACGGCCCGCGUCAGUCUCGCCGGAGAGAGAGGAGAUGCCGCCCAGCAACCACGGCGUCGCGGCUGGCUUGCUCGCCGGUGCACGGGUGCGUGCUUCGAUGCGUGGCGCUUCGUCGAGCUGGCCGGACCGCGGCGCGCGCGUGGCCUGCAUAGGGUUUGCAGUGGCGGCGCUACACGCUGGCCGCAGGUCUCCGGCUACCAGGAAGGCGCCGCCGCCGAUUCGAGUCGAUCCUCAAGGGUGACCAAGAGGUCCUGCCGAGCUCAAGUUCGUCCACGACGACCCACCACGGCAGGCGGAGCAACGGGUUAGGGAGGGAAAUCAGGCGAUGGCCAGCAAGUCAAGGCCAUCAUGACGGCCGGCGGCGCUCGAGCUCGCCGCCACCGCCGGGAAGGCCGCCGCCGACUGCGUCAUCCCCACCUUCAAGAAAUGUCCUCUUUGGUGUCUGUUACGUCUCUGAGUUGGGUUUUGGUGGACCUCUUCGUUGCGCACGGCUGAGCUGAACGUCCUCGGCGGUGGUGGCGGCACGUGUGAGAUCCUCCUCCAUGACAAGGCCGCCGCCGGAUCAGCUCCUCUCCGCCGGUGGACCCUCGCCUCUCCGACAAGGCCGCCACCGGAUCCCGUCCUAUCCAACAGCAACGCCUCCGGAUCCACUCGUCCUCGACAACGAUGGCGCCGAGGAGCACCAGGAGCUUCA